rnacentral:lncRNA from 1 species
GUGGUUUUGUCCCUUCCAGCUGUGUGAUUAAGCCUCAGUUUCCUCAUCUGUUUGGGUCCUGGGUAGUGACUUCAAAGGGUGGAUUUGAGGAUUAAAUGAAGAAAUGAAUGUAAAACUCAAAAAUAGCACCUGUCACCAUGGCAAGAGCUCAAUGAAAAUUGGUGAUUAUUUUUGUAAUUUAUUUUCUAUUAUAUGUCUAAGCAGGAUGGAGAAACCAUGGAGAAGGUUUAGCUCAGGGUGUGUGAGGGUGUGUGUGUGUGUGUGUGUCUGUGUGUGUAUGUGUGUAGGGUGGUAGGGGGUGUAAGAAAGAGAGAGAGAAAAAGUUUCUAUAUAACUGACACAGGAUUUUCUUCUCGGUCACUUUUCAAGCCAGGGACCUCUGGCUGGCAACACCCUGCCUGGGCCUCACUCGGCCACACAACCUGCUGCAGGAGAUGGCAAGAGAUGACUCGCCCACUCUGCCCACCUGGGCCAAGUUUGGCUGCACACCAGUUCCUAAGUUCUUGUCCCACACCCAAGAAGAAUGAGGAUAUGCUGACAAUCGAAGAGUGAACAAGGACUGGAAUCCCCUGUCAGAUGCUUUAACUGCUGGUCUCUCUCUCUCUCUCUGGUCCCACCUCCGUGGCUCAGCUCCGCCCAACACACACCCCCUCCACCCUCACCUUCUGAUGCCUCCACCCUCACCUCCACAACCUUUACCCAAGUUGCGCAAUGACAUUCUCUCCCUCCCCCUCAGCCACACUUAAUCCUCUUUCUCAAUCUCCCCACAUUCCUCUCUAUUCUCUGCUCCUCCCAGUCUCCCUCAGCUCCACACACGGUUGAAGCCCCUCCAGAUUCUAACACUUCCAGAAUCCUCUCCCCAGAAAGCUCUCCUCAAUCAGCCAGUGUCUGCAGAGUCCUUGGCAAAGGGGUUGCUGGGAGUUAUGACUAAAGAUGGGGACAUGAGGGUGGAAAGAUACCCCUUUCCCAUGACAAUCCUAAUUAGCACACAGGAUGUGGGGGCUUUCCAAGGAAGCAGAGAGACUCUGCUCAAACAGCUGUUCACUGGGGAGGGCCUUUCCGAGUCAUCUUCUCUACGUCCUCCCCAGCACACCGGCCUCUCCAGGCUCCUCGGUUGCACUCUUGGGAAAGCCGAGCCAGAAUUCCAGAAACAAUG